GUAUAUUCGAAAUCUUGUGAUGUAUAUUCUAUAAUCUUGUGAUGUAUGUUCGAAAUCUUGUGAUGUAUAUUCGAAAUCUUGUGAUGUAUGUUCGAUAAUCUUGUGAUGUAUAUUCGAAAUCUUGUGAUGUGUGUUCUACAAUUCAGUGAUGCGUGCAAUAAAAUUGCAUGACGCAACAGAAAAGUAAGGACAAUUUUCAUUGGUUAGAAAUAACGAAAGUAGCUGAAGCGUCGGGAAAACCAUGCAGGUGAGAAAAAACACAAUCAUCAGUUUGUUUAUUGCAGCACUUAUUACGAGAUGCACGAGUGUUGUUCCUGGUGACAUGAUGGAGAUAUUUCGGCCUGCUAGGGAAAAAACUCAACGAGCUGAUCGCCAACCAGGAGAUCAGAAUGAUCGCAUCUGCUCCUGCCACUUUAAGGAUGGUAAGAAGGAGGGGGACUCUGCAUAUUUUGCAUGGAAUGAAGGAAAGGCCAUGGAUUUCUCUGAUCCUGAAUGUACAAAAAGGAGGAAAAAACUCAAAAGUGAGGAGUCCCUGUCAUCUUCACAGAUGGACCAGUUGCAGAUUCCACAAGCACCAAAAUGUCAAUAUCAAGAAAAAUUGAUAUCAGAGCACAACUACUCAGUAUCCUGCACAUUUAACUGUACUCAAGAAAUGCAGCGCCUCUCAACAGAAAUACAACUGGAAAAGGAAUUGCUUGCCCUAAAAAUAGAGUCUAGUAAAAGGAAGCCAAUAUCAAUCCACGAUAUUAAAUACAACGAAGAGAAGUGUUAGGUCUCUGAUCAGCAGGGGCAUUUUCUCUAUAUAAAAAGAAAAUGGAGACUCCCUACCCACCCGAUGUAUUUUGUCGGACAGUUUUCUGUACAUUGCAGUCACCAAUAUAUCCAAAUAUCAUCACCGGCCCAGACGUCAUUCACUCCUUUGAAUUGUGCUGGUAGCAGUAAGGUGUCAUCAUUUGAGAUGGUCACAGUAUCCAAUACACUGAAGUCACAGGACUCAAAUUUCAUACAUGUUCACAGGUAGGUGUAUAGUCUUUGAAAUUACCACAAUUGACUAAUUCUGGGACAGGUAAGUAUGUAAGUAUAGGAAUGAGAGCACCAAAUCCCCGGAUGCACACAUGGCUUUGUUUGUUAUGGAACAUUAAACCGAAUACUG